rnacentral:rRNA from 1 species
AAGAAAGUAAUAAAGGGCGUAUGGGGGAUGCCUAGGCUCUUGGAGGCGAAGAAAGACGUGGUAAGCUGCGAUAAGCCUCGGGGAUUUGCAAACGAGAAUUGAUCCGAGGAUUUCUGAAUGGGACAACCCGGCAGGCAGAAGGCCUGUCACACGAAAGUGGGCCAACCCUCUGAACUGAAACAUCUUAGUAGGAGGAGGAAAAGAAAGAAACAUCGAUUUCCUAAGUAGCGGCGAGCGAACGGGAAACAGCCUAAACCACAAUUGUUACGGCAACUGUGGGGUUGUAGGACUGCAAUAUUCAAAUGACUGUGAACUGGAAUGUUCUGGAAAGUUCAUCCAAAGAGAGUGAAAGACUCGUACAGGCAAGCACGUCAAGCGAUAGCAGUAUCCUGAGUAGGGCGGGACACGAGGAAUCCUGUCUGAAUCCGCCGGGACCACCCGGUAAGGCUAAAUACUCCCAAGAGACCGAUAGUGAACCAGUACCGUGAGGGAAAGGUGAAAAGAACCCCGAACAGGGGAGUGAAAUAGAACCUGAAACCAUACGCUUACAACCUGUCGGAGCGGCUUCGUGCCGUGACGGCGUGCCUAUUGAAUAAUGAGCCUACGAGUUACUAAUCACUGGCAAGGUUAAGUGCACGGAUGCACGGAGCCGAAGCGAAAGCGAGUCUGAAUAGGGCGUUUAGUCAGUGGUUGUAGACGCGAAACCUUGCGAUCUACCCUUGAGCAGGUUGAAGGUUGGGUAAAACCAACUGGAGGACCGAACGAAUAAGCGUUGAAAAGCUUCUCGAUGACUUGAGGGUAGGGGUGAAAGGCUAAUCAAGCUGGGAAAUAGCUCGUACUCCCCGAAAUGCCUUUAGGGGCAGCGUUGUAAUUAAGAGUCUACUGGAGGUAGAGCUACUG